rnacentral:misc_RNA from 1 species
UCCGGUUUGUCACCGGCAGUCUCUGCAGAGUCCUCGGCUUUACCCGUUAGUAACAGCAGAUAAGGGUUGCGCUCGUUGCGGGACUUAACCCAACAUCUCACGACACGAGCUGACGACAGCCAUGCAGCACCUGUGUCCAGGUUCCCUUUCGGGCACCCCUCCAUCUCUGGAGGGUUCCUGGCAUGUCAAGGGUAGGUAAGGUUUUUCGCGUUGCAUCGAAUUAAUCCACAUAAUCCACCGCUUGUGCGGGUCCCCGUCAAUUCCUUUGAGUUUUAGCCUUGCGGCCAUACUCCCCAGGCGGAGUGCUUAAUGCGUUAGCUGCGGCACAGAGAGGGUUGAAGACCUCCCCACACCUAGCACUCAUCGUUUACAGCGUGGACUAC